UCAGUAUUGGAAAAACUCAGAAUUAUAAUUAUGAAUUACUAUUCAAUCCUCAUCGUCGUUGUCCUCAUUUUGGCCAUCAGCCAUCAGGACAAUCGGCGGAGACUCCUCUCAUUGAUUUUUUCCAAAAACUGGAGGAACUAGCGCACGAAAUGAUGAAAAAAGGACUUGAACUUGCUAAGCCCGUUGUUAUUGUUAUGAAAGGAUAAUGAAACAAGUCCAUACCCUUAUAACUUCUUGCUUUUCAAUAAAUGUAGCGUUUUAAUAAUAUAAUUACAUUAAGCUUUCAA